rnacentral:rRNA from 1 species
AGGGAAACAACCCAGACCGCCAGCUAAGGUCCCAAAGUCAUGGUUAAGUGGGAAACGAUGUGGGAAGGCCCAGACAGCCAGGAUGUUGGCUUAGAAGCAGCCAUCAUUUAAAGAAAGCGUAAUAGCUCACUGGUCGAGUCGGCCUGCGCGGAAGAUGUAACGGGGCUAAACCAUGCACCGAAGCUGCGGCAGCGACACUGAUGUGUUGUUGGGUAGGGGAGCGUUCUGUAAGCCGUUGAAGGUGGCCUGUGAGGGUUGCUGGAGGUAUCAGAAGUGCGAAUGCUGACAUAAGUAACGAUAAAGCGGGUGAAAAGCCCGCUCGCCGGAAGACCAAGGGUUCCUGUCCAACGUUAAUCGGGGCAGGGUGAGUCGACCCCUAAGGCGAGGCCGAAAGGCGUAGUCGAUGGGAAACGGGUUAAUAUUCCCGUACUUGGUGUUACUGCGAAGGGGGGACGGAGAAGGCUAUGUUGGCCGGGCGACGGUUGUCCCGGUUUAAGCGUGUAGGUGUGUGUUCCAGGUAAAUCCGGUUCACUUUAACAC